CGCGGCCUAUCAGCUUGUUGGUGGGGUAACGGCCUACCAAGGCGAUGACGGGUAGCCGGUCUGAGAGGACGAUCGGCCACACUGGGACUGAGACACUGCCCAGACUCCUACGGGAGGCUGCAGUCGAGAAUCUUCCGCAAUGGGCGAAAGCCUGACGGAGCGACACCGCGUGCAGGAUGAAGGCCUUCGGGUUGUAAACUGCUGUCACGCUAUAGGAAUUCCCUGUCGUUAAUAGCUGCAGGGUUGACCAAAGCGAAAGGAAGCACCGGCUAACUCCGUGCCAGCAGCCGCGGUAAGACGGAGGGUGCUAACGUUGUUCGGAAUCACUGGGCAUAAUGAGCACGUAGGCGGUCCACUCAGUCGGGUGUGAAAGCCCCCGGCUCAACCGGGGAACGGUAUCCGAUACUGGUGGACUCGAGGAUGGUUGGGGUGAGUGGAACUCCUGGUGGAGCGGUGAAAUGCGUAGAUAUCAGGAGGAACACCAGUGGCGAAAGCGGCUCACUGGGCCAUUCCUGACGCUGAGGUGCGAAAGCUAGGGGAGCGAACGGGAUUAGAUACCCCGGUAGUCCUAGCCGUAAACGAUGGGCACUAGGUAGGGGGAAUGCCUAUGGUUUUCCCUGCCGUAGCAAAUGUGUUAAGUGCCCCGCCUGGGGAGUACGG
rnacentral:rRNA from 1 species